rnacentral:siRNA from 1 species
AUUCACAGUCAAUGGCAGGACCAC